UGAAACUAAAAUGGGAGCUUUUACGGGCUGAGAGGAAGGAUAAACCUUCGACCAUCAUACCUGAUUUGGGUAAUGCCAACGUAGGGAUUUAGAUGCUUAUUGUA
rnacentral:ncRNA from 2 species